rnacentral:rRNA from 1 species
AGAGCGAACGCUGGCGGCAGGCCUAACACAUGCAAGUCGAGCGCGUGUAGCAAUACACGAGCGGCAGACGGGAGAGUAACACGUGGGAACGCGCCCUUUGGUUCGGAAUAACUCAGGGAAACUUGAGCUAAUACCGGAUAAGCCCUUACGGGGAAAGAUUUAUCGCCAAAAGGAACGGCCCGCGUCCGAUUAGCUAGUUGGUGAGGUAACGGCUCACCAAGGCGACGACGGGUAGCU